rnacentral:rRNA from 1 species
AGAGCGGGCAAUUACACCAACGUCGAUGACAUCUUACUAUGCAAUACUUGGUUGCAAGUGUCGAGGGAUCCAUCCGUUGGAGGUGAUCAAAGUAGAGAUGCUUAUUGGGGGCGGAUGAAAGAACACUUUGAUGUUCACAACUUGAGUGGAAUUGACCGCUCCGAGAGAUCACUUCGGUCCCGAUGGUCGACAAUCAACUCGGAUUGUCAAAGGUGGGCGGCCUGUCAAAAGGCGGUUGACAAGUUGAACCCAAGUGGCACAAAUGAGGACGAUAGAGUAAGUGAAGAGGAGAGGACAACCAAGAAGGGGAAGAUCAAGAAAGGAAGGGUCUUUACCUUGCCCCAUUGCUAUAACGUGUUGAAGGAUGAUGAGAAAUGGAAGAAGCAUGAAGAUUUGGAUGAUUUGCAUUUGAGCAACAAACGCAAGCGAACAAUUAAGUUAGAUGAUGAUGAGGAGGAGGAUGAUGCAUCAAGUGAUGACGGCAAGAGAAGCCCCACACCCAACUCGGUUUCAUACUCGAAGCCAAAGCGACCGGAUGGGUGCAAGAAAGACAAAACCGAAAAGAAGAAGAGGAAAGGAGAUGAUGAGCUCAAAAAUGCUAUGAAAGCUAUUGUGAAGGCAAGAAAAGAAGCCAACGAGGUGAGGAAAAUGGCAAGGAACCAAGAUGCCGCGGCCGAGGAGAGGAGGGUGGCGGCCGAGGAGAGGAAGGUGGCUUUGGAGGAGAGGAAGGUGAGCAAUGAGGAGCGAACUAGAUUGUUGGAAUGGGAGAAGCACUUGUUCUUCUUGGACACAUCUAACCUCAAUGCGGCGCAAAAGGAGUAUGUCAAUCUUGCCCGUGAAGAAGUCUUG